CCUACGGGGGACAGCAGUGAGGAAUAUUGGUCAAUGGGCGCGAGCCUGAACCAGCCAAGUAGCGUGAAGGAUGACUGCCCUACGGGUUGUAAACUUCUUUUAUAAAGGAAUAAAGUGAGGCACGUGUGCCUUUUUGUAUGUACUUUAUGAAUAAGGAUCGGCUGACUCCGUGCCAGCAGCCGCGGUAAUACGGAGGAUCCGAGUGUUAUCCGGAUUAUUGGGUUAAAGGGGUGCGCAGGCGGAGGUGCAAGCUAGCGGUCAAAUUGCGGGGCUCAACCCCGUACUGCCGUUGAAACUGCAUCCCUUGAGUGCACAAGAGGAGUGCGGAAUGCGUUGUGUAGCGGUGAAAUGCAUAGAUAUCACGCAGAACUCCGAUUGCGAAGGCAGCAUACCGGCGCGCAACUGACGCUCAUGCACGAAAGCGUGGGUAUCGAACAGGAUUAGAUACCCUUGUAGUC
rnacentral:rRNA from 1 species